UACGUAGGGUGCAAGCGUUGUUCGCAAUCACUGGGCGUAAAGGGCGCGUAGUCGGCGUUUUAAGUCGGGGGUGAAAGCCUGUGGCUCAACCACAGAAUGGCCUUCGAUACUGGGACGCUUGAGUAUGGUAGAGGUUGGUGGAACUGCGAGUGUAGAGGUGAAAUUCGUAGAUAUUCGCAAGAACACCGGUGGCGAAGGCGGCCAACUGGACCAUUACUGACGCUGAGGCGCGAAAGCGUGGGGAGCAAACAGG
rnacentral:rRNA from 1 species